rnacentral:rRNA from 1 species
AACGAACGCUGGCGGCAGGCUUAACACAUGCAAGUCGAGCGCCCCGCAAGGGGAGCGGCAGACGGGCGAGUAACGCGUGGGAAUCUACCGUACCCUACGGAAUAGCUCCGGGAAACUGGAAUUAAUACCGUAUACGCCCUACGGGGGAAAGAUUUAUCGGGGUAUGGUGAGCCCGCGUUGGAUUAGCUAGUUGGUGGGGUAAAGGCCUACCAAGGCGACGAUCCAUAGCUGGUCUGAGAGGAUGAUCAGCCACAUUGGGACUGAGACACGGCCCAAACUCCUACGGGAGGCAGCAGUGGGGAAUAUUGGACAAUGGGCGCAAGCCUGAUCCAGCCAUGCCGCGUGAGUGAUGAAGGUCUUAGGAUUGUAAAGCUCUUUCACCGAUGAAGAUAAUGACGGUAGUCGGAGAAGAAGCCCCGGCUAACUUCGUGCCAGCCGCCGCAGUAA